UAUCCGGAUUUAUUGGGUUUAAAGGGAGCGUAGAUGGAUGUUUAAGUCAGUUGUGAAAGUUUGCGGCUCAACCGUAAAAUUGCAGUUGAUACUGGAUGUCUUGAGUGCAGUUGAGGCAGGCGGAAUUCGUGGUGUAGCGGUGAAAUGCUUAGAUAUCACGAAGAACUCCGAUUGCGAAGGCAGCCUGCUAAGCUGCAACUGACAUUGAGGCUCGAAAGUGUGGGUAUCAAA
rnacentral:rRNA from 1 species